UACGUAGGCAGCGAGCGUUGUUCGGAGUUACUGGGCGUAAAGGGUGUGUAGGCGGUUGUUUAAGUUUGGUGUGAAAUCUCCCGGCUCAACUGGGAGGGUGCGCCGAAUACUGAAUGACUAGAGUGCGGGAGAGGUGAGUGGAAUUCCUGGUGUAGCGGUGAAAUGCGUAGAGACGUCGAGGAACACCAGAGGCGAAGGCGGCCUACUGGGUCAGUACUGACGCUGAGCCGCGAAA
rnacentral:rRNA from 1 species